rnacentral:rRNA from 1 species
GAUGAACGCUGACGGCGUGCCUAAUACAUGCCAGUCAAGCUCAGCGGGGACGGGUGAGUAACACGUGGAUAACCUCCUAUAAGACUGGGAUAACUUCGGGAAACCGGAGCUAAACCGGAUCCUUAUAGAUGGAUCCGCGAGGCAUUAGCUAGUUGGUAAGUUAACGGCUUACCAAGGCAACGAUGCAUAGCCGACCUGAGAGGGUGAGCGGCCACACUGGAACUGAGACACGGUCCAGACUCCUACGGGAGGCAGCAGUAGGGAAUCUUCCGCAAUGGGCGAAAGCCUGACGGAGAAACGCCGCGUGAGUGAUGAAGGUCUUCGGAUCGUAAAACUCUGUUAUUAGGGAAGCGGUACCUAAUCAGAAAGCCACGGCUAACUACGUGCCAGCAGCCGCGGUAAUUC